GAUGAACGCUGGCGGCGUGCCUAACACAUGCAAGUCGAGCGAUUCUCUUCGGAGAAGAGCGGCGGACGGGUGAGUAACGCGUGGGUAACCUGCCCUAUACACACGGAUAACAUACCGAAAGGUAUGCUAAUACGAGAUAAUAUGCUUUUAUCGCAUGGUAGAAGUAUCAAAGCUCCGGCGGUACAGGAUGGACCCGCGUCUGAUUAGCUAGUUGGUAAGGUAACGGCUUACCAAGGCGACGAUCAGUAGCCGACCUGAGAGGGUGAUCGGCCACAUUGGAACUGAGACACGGUCCAAACUCCUACGGGAGGCAGCAGUGGGGAAUAUUGCACAACGGGCGAAAGCCUGAUGCAGCAACGCCGCGUGAGCGAUGAAGGCCUUCGGGUCGUAAAGCUCUGUCCUCAAGGAAGAUAAUGACGGUACUUGAGGAGGAAGCCCCGGCUAACUACGUGCCAGCCGCCGCUGUAA
rnacentral:rRNA from 1 species